rnacentral:rRNA from 1 species
AGCAGCCGCGGUAAUUCCAGCUCCAAUAGCGUAUAUUAAAGUUGUUGCAGUUAAAAAGCUCGUAGUUGAAUUUCGGGAUCAUCAGGUUGGUCGUGCCUCUGGUAUGUACUUGCUUCGAUGGUCCCUCCUUCUUGAAGAACCGUAAUGCCAUUAAUUUGUUGUUGCGGGGAAACAGGACUGUUACUUUGAAAAAUUAGAGUGUUUAAAGCAGGCAAUCGCUUGAAUACAUUAGCAUGGAAUAAUGAAAUAGGACGUUCGAUCCUAUUUUGUUGGUUUCUAGGAUUGACGUAAUGAUUAAUAGGGAUAGUUGGGGGCAUUAGUAUUCAAUUGUCAGAGGUGAAAUUCUUGGAUUUAUUGAAGACUAACUACUGCGAAAGCAUUUGCCAAGGAUGUUUUCAUUAAUCAAGAACGAAAGUUAGGGGAUCGAAGACGAUCAGAUACCGUCGUAGU